GACGUAGGGCGCGAGCGUUGUCCGGAUUUAUUGGGCGUAAAGAGCUCGUAGGCGGCUUGUCGCGUCGUCCGUGAAAACCUGCAGCUCAACUGCAGGCUUGCGGUCGAUACGGGCAGGCUCGAGUUCGGUAGGGGAGACUGGAAUUCCUGGUGUGAGCGGUGAAAUGACGCAGAUAUCAGGAAGAACACCCGUGGCUAAGGCGGCUCUCUAGUACGGUACUGACGCUGAGACGCGAAAGCGUGGGGAGCGAACAGG
rnacentral:rRNA from 1 species